AAAGGAGCCUAUGACAUCCCAGGGCUGGCUGCACAGAAGAUGAGAAGCACCUAAUGAGAACCCACGAUGCUCUUUCCAACCUGGAAGGAAACGUGAGAAGUGGGGAGCAGAGGGGGUCAAAAUUACAUGCCUUGCACAACAGCAGCCACGGUUCUGCCACUCUGGACCUUUCUAACAAAGAACAAAGUCAAGGAAAAGUAGAAAGAGAUGGAAAAGAGGGACACAGAGAAAGGCAUUGUCUGGUCCCUGAAAACCUUCCCCUGACCACAGCACCAAGGCAGGGUUAAUCUCCUCGGCCAAACCAGAACCUGGUUUCAUGUGGUGGCCGCUGGAGUUGACAGCAGUCUCUGGGGACACUCCCUUUGUGUCUGCAGAAAGACAGAGGGAAAGGUCACCACAGGGCAGGCUGCGGCCCAAUGGCUCUGGCAGCCAGAUUUCCCAGGUUGAUUCACCUGCUCCUUCAAGUACAAGAAAUGCCCAGAGGCGCUGGCGUUUCCCUAGUCCAGCAGGAUGGUGACGAAAUCAGCACUACAGCAUUGAUGGCAUGCCCCUUGUGACCAGAAUAUGGAUACUUGCUGGUGCCUUUUUCCCUGGAGGCACAGGCAAAUGGAAGGAAGAAAGGCAUCACUCUUGUGCUGUUGUAAAUGCUGACCGAGCAACAACGUCCAGUACGUGGACCUGGGAGAGGUCCUUGGUCCAAAGAGCCACGCUGAAAAAGAAAGGAACCUCCUCAAAUGACAGAGAUAUAGGAGAUUACAAAAUGGAACCAACAAGUGCUGGAGCACCCAGGGGGAUACUGACCCUGGAUGUGGCUCUUGUGACUGGCAGAAACAUGGCAGAGGAUCUAGGACUGAGGCUUUCUGGAAUCAGGGAGCAAGCAAUGGAAAGACUGGAAGAUUUUUCCCAGUGAUUCAGGGAAGCAGCAAAGAAGAUGCCAUCUGCCUGGGAUCCCAGGGGGAAAAAAAGCCUCCCAAAUGACAUUGACAUCUGAAAUCCAUUUCCCCUUAGAGAUGACACCAGAAUGCAAAUCACUCCCAUGGAGGAGGUCAAGUUCCAAUCCAAGAUAUCUACACAAAACUAGUCACAUACCAACGAGGCCCUGGUGCCCCCAGCAGAAGCAAAUGCAAAACUUCUGUCUCUGCACACCUCCCAGGGCAAGGGGACUCCCACAGGGAAACAAGCUCCCCAGGGGAGAGGGCAAGUGACACAAUGAUGAACCAAACCGUGAGGACAAGCCCAGCCCCAGAAGGACAGCAGCAGCACCCCUGAUUAGCUUCCUGGCUUUUCUUUUCCUGAGCACCUUCAUAUCUUCUUGCUUUUCCUUUGAAGUUAAGCUCAGCUGUUGAGAUCUGGAUUUUCACCGUCCCAUCCUCACUGGCCAGCACCAUGGCUCCUGGAUGUGAAGCACCCAACAGAUAUAUAUUGGAUGUUGGUAAAAAUCUUAAUGCAUAUGAUUUGUGGCUAUGUCAUAGAUAACACAUGCAGGUAUGUCAGGACAGAGGCUCCCUCUGGGUGGGAAGAGGUGGCAAAGGAUGGGGUUAGGUGGGAAUGGUGCCAUCCACCUAUAAAGGUUCAUGUCUUUAAAUGUGUCUGGAAGCCUUAUGCAAAACAUUAAUGGUUGUUAUAUCCAGGUGGCAGGUGCCUGGGAGUCUGUAUUCUCUGUGCUUUUCUGUGUGUUUGGAGUAUUUCAUAAUUUUAAAUAAAAAUAAAUAAAGGAAGGUAUUUGCAGAAUGAAAGGGCCUCUGAUCGCACC